rnacentral:lncRNA from 1 species
GACAGGGCCCAGUGUCUUCAGCAUGACUGGUAACACUUCUAACCAGGCUCGCAGCUUCAGCCCCGACCUUUUCCUCAAGGGUGAUCGGGGGAAUCUGGAGGCCCAAGCCUUCUGAGGGCGAGCUGGGGCAAGGUCAGGUGGCAGACUGGCAAGAUGAAGAAAAUGAAGUGGCGAGGCUGUCCCCUAGGAGCUGCAUUAUUCCAUUACUGAAGCAGAGCUGGGAAUUAGGCACCUGUGCCCCUGUUGAGACACACUGGAGUAUCGGGAAAGUAUUGGACGUACAGUUAAUAAAUCUUCACAAGUGCC